rnacentral:rRNA from 1 species
AUGGUGAUGGCCGUCCUUGGUGAUCUCGACGGGGAGGCAAGGAUGAAAGAUCCCUAUGAUAGGGAGCAGCGAUUUGGUGCUCGAGCUCAGCUGCUCCCGAAAUCGCUGGCGUCCUUUCUUGCCUCGGGAUUCCAAGAAUUCGUCCUGACACGCCUGGACAGAGGCGCAGAAAAAAUAGCUUACGGCGCCUAUACAGUUCUUGUUGGAUGCCGUCGUCCGGUGAGUUCCUCCUUCCUCUCGCUGGAGAUCUACCGGUCUUCGAGAUUUGUUCUCCAGCUGACGCAUGAGGAAGAAGCUGACCUCAUGGCUGGCCGUCGCCCAUGGCCGUGUGUUCCAGGCUCCCACUCCGGAAGCAGUUCGCGGACAGCCUUGAACAUCCGGAUCCGCUUCCUCUGGCCUUGUUACCGCCGGGCGGAGGAAACCUUGCCGUGCCGGCGAACUCAAAUGUUGGGUCUGGAUGCAGCUUGCACAGGGUUACAUCUUUGCAGUUCACCACCUGACAGGACGCCAUGCCCCUCUAGAAUGAGUGCAUUAGAGCAGUCGAUUCGCAGAUAUGCAGAUGAGCCUACUAAAAGUAUGGCAAGAACAGAUGGGACGCCGACAGGACCAAAUCAAUGCAAGAGCGUUUGCGGCUGCUCGGGGAAGCCAGAGCAGAUUAUGUUGCGAGUACCCUGCGUUGAUGAGGCUCCUGUGUGUGUCCGAAUGCACUACUGGUUCUUCAGGGAUGUGAGCAGAACAGAGCUAAGGAUGCAAGAGAUAUACUUCCCGGGCACCGCGUUCAGUACCAGUAGGACGGCUAUGGAUGUCAUGCGGAUGAGAGAUGAGGAUGCAGAAGCAUUCGAGCACAUGUCAGCUGGGCUAAACGCCGUGUUUGUUGCAUUUGUGGGGAAUGGCAGUGCAGGUCAUGAAGACAGUGAUGGCGGCUUGGCAAGUGUGAAUGCACUACAAGGGCUUGCUGCUCCAGAGAAGCAGAGAGGUGUUGGUAGGCCGACUAGGAGCAGGGAAAAAGCACCGUACGAGGGACUGAGUAAACGAAUGAGGUUCUACAACAUCUUUCGAAGGCCACAAGCGACGGCCUGCCCUGACCGAGGGGAUGCCCGCAAGCAACCGCGUAAGCCUAGGAAAUGCAAGAAGUGUGGAAUGGAAGGGCACCAUCAGAACACGUGCGCACGACCACUCGGAGGUGCUUAG